UCGAUGACAAUAGAUGCGUGUGGCAACUUAAUGCAUCAACAACCUGAUUGUUCUUGCCAGCCUUGUAAUAAGUGAUAUAAGAAAACUCUAGAAGGUAAGACUCCACUUGACACUACGGGCACUCAUCUCCUGCUGAGAGUUUAGGUAUUUGAGUGCUUCAUGAUCAGAAUAUAUGACAAACUCCUUGCUAACCAAAUAGUGAUGCCAAUCCCGUAAAGUUUGAACGAGGGCAUAAAACUCCAAGUCAUAAGUAGAGUAUCGCUGCUUCGCAUUAGAGAACUUCUCGCCAAAGAAAACUAUUGGAUGCCCUUCCUGAUUGAGAACUCCACCAACGCUAAUGUUAGAAGACCUCAAAUACCUUCUCAAAGUGCGGAAAGCGCAAAACCGGAGCUUUGGUCAUCUUAUGUUUGAUCCUAUCAAACGCUCAUGUUGCUGCACUUUCAUUGAAACUUCUUUUGUUUCAUACAAUUAGUGAUAGGGGCCAUGAUGCUGCUGAAGUUUUGCGCAAAACAUCUGUAAAAUGUAGCGAGGUCAUGGAAACUGUGAACUUCAGAGAUAGUGGUAGGUGUCAGCCAAUCAACAGUGGCUUUCACGGUUUCACCUUGGCGAAGUCCACCUCUACACCUUGCGAUGAGACAAUGUACCCUAAGAAGACCAGUGAUGUACUCAUGAAGGUACACUUUUUUAAGUUGGUAAAAGCACUCGCGACGAAGGACUCUGAAGAUAAGACUUAGGUGAUUGAGGUGUUCCUUCCUUGAAUUAAUGUAGAUAAGAAGUCGUCAAAACAAAUAACAACAAACUUACCAAGAAAAGGGUGUAACAACUAGGUCAUGACGCGGAUGAAAGUGCUAGGCACGUUUGUGAGACUGAAUGGCAUAACUAGCCACUCUUAGAGACCAUCCUUCGUCUUAAAUGCUAUCUUCCAUUCGUCACCAAGUCGAAUACGAAUCUGGUGGUAUACAUUGCGAAGAUUAGUCUUAAAGAAGACAAUAACAUUUGGCAUUGAGUCCAUCAUAACAUUAAGCUGAGGAAUUGGAAAGCAGCACUUCACUGUGAUUUUAUUAAUAGCUUGGCUGUCUACACACCAGUGUUUUAAAUAGUGGUAGCGUGAUGCGUAGCGGUCAACCCUCUAUAGCAUGUUACGUAAAUAUGUAGCAUAAGUUACACGAUACUUCUAUUUUUUAAUUUAAAAAUAGGACAAAUAUAAUAAAUAGUGAAAAAAAGGAAAAAAUAAAAAUAAAAAUGCCUAAAAGAUGAUUCAUUUUAUCAAUUAUAAGCAUGUUCAAAAAGUUAUUAGUUAUCAUUUAUCAAAAGCCAAUCCACAUAUAUAAGCCAAAUCAAAUAAUUAUCACAUCAACAACUUUCUAAGCAAACCACUUUAAUUAAUAAUGUCUAAUAGAAACCACAAGUCACAAUUAUGAAAAGAAAUAAAAAUCCCAUAGGUUAAAAGUAUCAAGUACAAUACAAGUGUCACAUUCCUCAACAUUAGAAACAAAGAAAACAUGAAAAGAAUAAUAACUUAAUAAAAUAGUAAAAAAAUACAUUGUAGCUUACGCUACGGACACUGCACACUAUGUAGCUGUAGUGUAUACUAUGACCCCUGUAGUGUAUGCUAUUGGGGAUUUACGCUAUUUGGGACGCUACGUAGCACUACAACCAUGCUACGCUAUGUAGUGUACGCUACGGGCGCUAUUUGAAACAGUGCUACACACAUACACCAACUUCUAUCCCUCUUGGGAGUAAGGAGGGUUAGCACCACACAUGGGCUUAGGCUCUUUCGGAUGGAGCCCUUUUUAAAGAACUCAUCAACUUGACGCUUCAACUCAGCGUGCUCGGCAGGACUCAUUUGGUAUGCUGGUAAGUUAGGUAAAGAUCCUCUAGGAACAAAAUCUAUAACAUGUUUAAUAUCCCGCGGCGGAGGCAACUCCUUAGGCUGAUCAUCGAGGACCAAAUCCUGAUAUUCAUGCAAUAUAGAUUCGACUUCAUCAGAAAUAAGCUCAGCCUGGUCAGUAACAGGCUCCUGCACUUGUAUUGUGACUAGAGCGAACAUUACGCCUUUCCUCCUUACUCUCUUCCUCGAAUUUCCACAUGGUAAGAACACGUGAGUUCGAAAGAGCAGCUGAUGCCAAUGAUGAAGGCGUAGAUGUAGGAGGUGGCGUAAGCUGCAAUGGGUAAAGAAGGAUAUGAUGACCUCACCAUAGGAAAGUAUACGUGCUAGCUUCACCGUUGCUUUGUACCUUUCAGUCAAAAAGCCAAGGCCGACUGAGAAGGAUGUGUGUGACAUUCAUUAGAAUUAUGUCAUACCAAAUAUUAUCCUCAUAUAUGGCGAUUUUAAAUGAUACCAAACACCUUCAAGUCACAGGAAUGGCAGUGUCGUUGACCCACACAACCUUAUAUGGUUUUAGAUGCCAUUCGGUUAGCAACUUGAGCUUAUCAAUCACAUCUUGAUAUAUAAUGUUCAUUGCGUUGCUUCCAUUAAUGAUCGUGCAUAACCUACCUGACAUUUUUAUCCAUGUACGGAAAACAUUGGUCCGUCUCCAGUCUUCAUCUUCCUCAGUGGUGAUAAGGAGGCGGUCUAUGAUAAGAGUAGGGCCUUCAACCUCAAUAUCAACUGCAAUUUUAGCAGGAGGGUCCUCUGGCUGUGAUGUAGGUUCUACAUAAGGUUAUUCCAUCUCGAUGUACUCAUCGUAAUACUCAUGAUUGUCCAGAUAGUAGGGGUCCUCAUUAUCACAGUAAUGGACGCUCCUAGCUUGCGAACACUCAUUAGAAAAUUGCCUUAUCUGUCUGCAAUGGUAACAGUCAACACCCAGCCGUUCUCUCUUAAAUGAAGGAUUAGGAUUUAAGACCUCGGCCAUUGGUGUCAUGUCCUUGCACCGCUGGUUGCUUUUUAUGUGAAUUUGUGGCGGAGGGCAUUGUAAAGGUUGGGGUUGCCUCAUAAGAGGAGUCUGCAUUUGUGGACAUGACUGAAAAGGGUAGGGAGGUGAUAGGUAGCCUUGUGGCGAAGUCCGAUUGAGAUGCAGAUCCGAACCCUUUCUCACAGAUGGUUCCCUGAUUGGAGAGUAUGCUGUCACAACUACUGUUCAACUUGUCGAGCCUUCUGAUGAACAUCAUAAACUGACUCGAAAUCAUACAUGACUAUCUCAUGAUGUAUCUCUUGGCGUAAUCUUGCCCGAUCGCGGUUAGUUGUUAUGUGAUUCGUCUAUGCAAGCUUACAAUAACAAGAAAACUCACUGUACUUCUCAGUGUAGUCAUCUAGAAUAGGUUGAUUUUUUUUGGUUUUAAUGGGUUGGAAUAUGACUGAUUUUGGGGACUUUUAAUGAGCUGAUUUUGGGAUUUUAAUGGAGUGGAAUGGGGCUGAUUUUGGGGAUUUUAAUGGGCUGGAAUAUGGCUGAUUUUGGGGGGUUUGAAUGGGCUGGAAUGUGGCUGAUUUUUGGGUUUUUAAUGGGCUGGAAUGGGGCUGAUUUUGGGAUUAAUGGGCCGGAUUAUGGAGGUAGAUGGUUGCCAAAAUUUCGACAAUCUCCCCUUGUCAAUUGGACUUUUGGGCUUUGUAAAAGAAAAGAAAAAGUGUGAGUGGGGGGUAGAAGGGAUGGAUGCAAUGAAGAAAAUAAAGAAAAAGAAACAUAAUUUUAUAAUUAAAGAACUUGAAAACAAUAAUAUUGAGAUUGUUGUUGAUCUAAAAUUUCAACCUAGCUGUUGGGACCCACUCUGAUACAAAACUGGCACAGCGGGCUGAUGGGGAGGAUCCGCCCAAGUGUAGGCACCUCCAAGUUAAGCACAAGAAUCACACAAAGUAGAAAUAAACAAUCUAGAAUUUUUAUUCAAUUCUAAGGUACCUUGAUACUACUCAUCCUAGGCCCUUAUAUAAGCUCUAGAAACGUAUAAAUAAGGAAAACUUAUAAUGUCAUUGAUAACCAAUGACUUGUAAGAAAUAUGGAAAUAGAAAUAAAAGAGAUAAUAAUGUAUUUAAAAUAUUUGACUAAUAGAUUAUUUAUAGCUACCUGAUUGGUUUUGCUAGCUAAUUACCUAAAUAAGCUAGUUACCUAAAUAGGAGGCUUGAGCCUCCUUAUUGAUAGGCUGAUUGUUGGGCUUUUGCCUGGCCCAUGGGUCGUGAGCCCAUAUCAACUUGCAUUAAUCCAGAUCACGACUUGCCACAGCUGAAAACUCUAGCGGAAUGUCUCAAUCUCAGCUGGACCUAUUGUUCACCUUGUUUGAUUUGGUAAAUACAGAAGUAACUUUAGAUGGAUACUAAUCUGGUACACAGUGGGGGCAUCUAGUGGAACCAGUAAUUUUGGGUACAGAACUUGAUGGUUUCUUAUCGUUCACAUCCAGAACUGAUCAUGAAGAACAUUGACUAUGAAGAAGGGGGUAAUAAUGGAAAACUGUUGAUUGAUCAAGGGUUUGGGCUGUCGAUAGCAAGGGUCUGCAGCACUGAUUUGGAAGACUUGGAUUUUGGGCAUUUGAAACAGAAUGACCAUCUCAAAAGUUAUAAUGAAAGAAACUAGCAAGUCCCGCACCCACUUUGUAAGCUUCUUCAGAAACUUUCGUGACCUCACAAAACCUUGAGAGGCCUCCCAAAAACAAACCUCCUGCUCUGAUACCACUUUGAUGCAGGACAACUAACCACUUGCUCUAAAAGCUCGAACUGAUAGAGCAUGGCGAAUCAAUCCCUUUAUCUCAUAAGCCCAGGCCCCACUUCACACGUGUUCGGUCCCUUGGCCGAACCCUCCUCAUGGGCCCUACUUCACAUGGGGCUGAACCCCCCUCAUGGGCCCCACUUCACACGGGUCUCGCCUCACACAGGCCGCACAUCCUGAGUGUGCCCCCACUUCACACAGGCCACCCCACUUGAGCUUGGUGUGAAAAUGCCCCUGGGCCUGCAUUACACAACCCAUCACAGCCAAAGAUUUCUUUCAAAAAGUCAGAAGAAUCAACAUAAACAACUUGGAUGAGUUGUGUUACAAUAAGUUUGGAAGGACAUCGAGAAAAACCUUUAGUCUUCAAACAU